rnacentral:tRNA from 1 species
GUUGCUGUAGCUUAUUAAAGCAUGGCACUGAAAAUGCCAAGACGGGACCUAACUCCUCCCCAACAACA